CUUGGAGGAGUCUAACCUUCUUUCUCUCUCGCUCUUUCACUUAUACACACGUAUACUAUCUCACGUUCAAUUCACCUAGACUUACCAUACAAACCUUCUAUACUUUCUCGACUUUUGCGGGUUUGCCGCGUCGCCCGAGUGAUGGCUUUCAUUCGUCGGGUACCACAAGACCGACAUGGCUCGUUUAACCGCCCCCACUGAUGUAUUUCGUGAAACGAGAGACUGAGAGAGUUGAUAGGAGGGUGGAAAGAGAAGAGGAAGGGAGAGAUAGAGGAAGUGUCGUCGAGGGUCAAUGCGAUUGAAAGCGACGCGGUUUUAGGGCUUGCGGAACGAGGGCAGGCCGCAACUAACUGGACGAGUUGCCGAGUCUCCGAGGCCAACCGCGCUUGCCUGUAACGGACCUACUGUUUGCACAGAUAAGAUAAAACCAACGGCAACAGCAGCAGCGGCAGCAACAGCAAGAAUUAGACUUGAAGGUUUCCAAAACUAAACACGACAGAAGCUGCGGUCGACUCUAUUAGGACGUGAGACCACACUCGUCACGCGGUACUAAUGCUACUCAAACGAGAGUAUCUGGACCAUUCCUGAUAGUCCCAUCGUGCUUUGCAUGCCGGACUCUCCCCUGAUUUUCUCUAUUCAUGAAUAUGACGAAUA